GGGAUUGUGGCUCAGCGGUAGAGCGCUCCCUUAGCACGGGUGGGACCCAGGUUCAAUUCCCAGCACCA
rnacentral:tRNA from 1 species